UACGUAGGGGGCAAGCGUUUGUCCGGAAUCAUUGGGCGUAAAGCGCGUGUAGGCGGCUUGGUAAGUCCGCUCUGAAAAGCCCGGGGCUCAACCCCGGGAGGCGGGUGGAUACUGUCAAGCUCGAGUCCGGAAGAGGCGAGUGGAAUUCCUGGUGUAGCGGUGAAAUGCGCAGAUAUCAGGAGGAACACCAAUGGCGAAGGCAGCUCGCUGGGACGUGACUGACGCUGGAGACGCGAAAGCGUGGGGAGCAAACAGG
rnacentral:rRNA from 1 species